GGAGCGGAAGUUGGCUGCAGGCGUGCUAGAACCGUGUGGGGAGAGAGGAGGAGCGUUGGUCGCCCUGGCGUCUGUCAGCAGGCGCAGUGAAAGACAAAGAUGAAGACCCCCUGGAAGGCGUUGAAAGUGGUGAAGAGAUAGGCCAUGACCACUGACUCCUUAUUGAUGAAGAGCAGGCCGAACGCCCAGGAAGAGCAGCUCGGCCAGAAAGAGGUUGAUGCACAGGUUCUUGUGGAUGGUGUUGCGGUCGGUCUGCAGCCCCCGCAGGAAGCAGAAGGUAGAGAUGCAGAUGGCCAGGCAGACGAGGGAGAUCACGAUGCCCACCCAGUGCCUUGGGAGAAGGUGGGACCAUGACCAGAAAGAACCAGACAUGUGGCCUCCUGCCCCGGGCAAGACUGGUGCCACCCCCCCAUGCCCACGAAGCUGGUCUUCCCUGGCACUGCCCAUGCAGCGCUCUCUAGGAUGCCAUGCAAAGCCAGGCCAGCAAGAGGGCCUGCCCACAGGAGCGGAGCGCCGGCCAGCUUACGAUCUCUCGGUGAGCCAUCAGCACGGCAAAGUUGGUGAGGUGGCUGCAGGCACACGUGGUAUGGGUCUUGUUGGACUCCACCAGGCGGCAGCCCUGGGUUGACCAGUAGCCCAGCAUGGAACGCUCCGAGUAGUUCCAGAAGGAGCAGUUAGCAUUGAAGUGGUUCUUGGCCUGUUGUGUGGUGGUGGCCGGGCAGUCAGAUCCAGGGAGUCCCGUUCCAGCCCCCACACCCAGCUAUGGGGAUGGUGACAGGCAUGAGAAAAGUGCCUGGGGCUCUGGGUGACAGUCUGGGAUUUCUGGGGGCAAAUGGCCCAAGCUGGUGAGGUGGGGGUUGGGGGACUGGUGCCCCAGGGAGGGGUCAUAACUUGCUCUUGGGGUGGGUGAACGCACAGUGGGGAGAAUAUACAGCCUGGGGACACGGAAGCUGGCGGGACCCCCGGGGGGGGGGUGGGGACGCCUCAGCUCACCUCCAGGUGGGCCACGGUGAAGAUGACAGGAUCCAUGAGAAAAACGCGACUGGACUCCUUGUUGAUGGACGCCGCGAUGACCUGUGAGUUCACCACCAGGGAGGUGCCGCCAGGGCCACCUGUACCUGCUUCACCCGCCAGCUUCACUGUGGCGUUCUCGGUGGACAAGAAGAGGCCCAGGUUGUUGUAGAGGAUGAAGACAACUUUGACCACACCUGGGGAGGACAGGCACCGCAGGGUGUGCCGUCAGUCCUGAGCCGGCACCCCUUCAGCCAUCCUGGUCACUGGGACCUCUGAAGCCAGGCUGUGGCCCAGAUGAGGGGGAUUCGGGAGCCCUUCCACGUACCAUUGCUCUGUUGUAGGCAGUUCCAAAUGGCAAGGCAGUAUGCCAGGACACAUAAGGACUGCGUCCCCAGCCCCCACCUCACUUGCUGUGUGACCUCGAGCAAAUCCCCAACCUCUCUGAGCCUUACUCUCAAAUGGGACAGACCUCCAUGAACUAUGAGAACUGCCACUGCAAAGGAGUGAGCCCUGCAAACUACAAAGUGUCCUAUGCUCUGGGGCUUUGGGGGGACCCCACAAAUCCCCUGAAAUGUUAGGCUUGCUUGAAUGGAAAACAACUCUGUGUGUGGUUACGAGUCCCACCCUUUUCUCGGAUUCUUCAACCCAAUACAAUGUAAGAACUGAUGUUCUUCACACGUGAAGCAGGGAUGCCAGCCCAGAGCUUGGGCACUGACCGUUGCGACUGUUCUGCUUGAUGGUAUUGGCGGACAGCUGGAUGGAGUUCUCGCUUGGGUAUUCCUGGGGGAACACCAGCUCCUGCACUUGGCCCUCCGUGUUUAGGACUGUCACCUCCAGGACUGUGGGGACAGGGGAUGGCAGGGCAGAUGCGGUUGGGGUCUGUCCCCAGUCCAGGGGCCCAGCUAUGGCAAGAGGCCCAAGGCUAGGGCAUCCCCAGCUGGCAGGCCCCAUGGUUCAAGAUUUGUACCUGAUCAUGAUCUCAGGGUUGUGAGAUUGAGCCCUGCAUUGGGCUCCA